UACAGAGGUCUCAAGCGUUGUUCGGAUUCAUUGGGCGUAAAGGGCGCGUAGGCGGCGGGGUAAGUCGGGUGUGAAAUCUCAGGGCUCAACCCUGAAACUGCACUCGAUACUGCUCUGCUUGAGGACUGGAGAGGAGACUGGAAUUCACGGUGUAGCAGUGAAAUGCGUAGAUAUCUGGAGGAACACCGGUGGCGAAGGCGGCGUUCUGGACUGUAACUGACACUGAUGAACGAAAGCCAGGGGAGCAAACGGG
rnacentral:rRNA from 1 species